rnacentral:sRNA from 1 species
UAUAUCAUCAACUAUGAUGUUUUAUAAUGUUAAGGUAUAUCCUGUGAUGGUUGAAGUAUGUCAUGUACUACUUGCCUUUGAUUUUAUAGGGGAUUAUACUCAAGAUAUUCCAUGAUUCUCAGAAGAGACUUGGGACUUUCAAACAUUGUUGUGGUGUGUUAGACUAUCGGGACUUUUGGAGUUGGAGUUAAUAUAUUUUGUAUAGUGUAAUGCUAGAGCUUGUCAUAAUCCCAUUGCCUCAUGUGUUUAAACAAGACUAUGAAUGCCAUAGACUGGAAUGUGAUUGGUGAGAUAUGUUUAGCCUAUGAGAAGUAGUUUGCAAUAAUCAGGCAUGUGGCCUUGUUGGGGAAGGUAUAGCUUUCCUACAGGAAGUGUGUCAGAUUGUGUCACAAUGGAGGCAGUGCUUUGAAAUGUCAGGAAAUUGUCAAUUCUGGGCAGAGUGAUCCAGACCAUACUCCCGGCUGGCUGUAAAAGAGAGUCUCCUAACUGGAUAAAGCUGUAGAACCCUUGGCUCCUCCAGCACCAUGGCUUCCUAUAUGCUGUCAGGCUUCCUGACAUGAUCGUAAUAUUAGGAAUUUACUAGCAGGGCUGAUGGUAUUGCUAUGAACCUGAAUCUCCAAAGUGUCCCCAGAUAAUAUUAUGAUGACAAUCAUCCAUGAGCCAUCAAUGUCCAUAUUGAAACCUACAAUCAUUGUUGCUUCUGAAGAGAUUUCUAACGUCAAGGAUCCCUGAAGCCAGCAGAAUGUACGCUGAAGUUCACAGUCAAUACUGCAACCUCAGGUCAUGUUGAGAGUUCCACAUAUAGUGAGUUGAGGUCACAUAUAUACUGGCAACAGACAACAGUGCAUGUAUGUGAUACUUCAGGCCUCAGCAGCCAUGAUAUCAUUGAUCUCCACUGCCUCACGAGAGCACAUUAAUAUGAGUGUCUCCAACUGCCAGUAAAAUCAUUACAGAUAUCAGUUAUCCAUGAUCCUGUCCAACUUGUGAGAAGGGUUCUGCCAGCUGUAACCAUUUUUAUGUCAUGUUGUAUCCUGUCACUAAACAAGAGGUUUCUGUUCAUGGCCAUACCUGCUAUCUGAAACUAUCUUAAUGUCCCUGAUAUUCAUGGCAACUGACACCAUGGUGUAUCUCUGAUCCUUCCUGCAACUUUGGAUCAGUUGAUAACAUGAGAAAUACCGGCAUCCAAAGAAAAUACAUUGAUAUUACUCAUAUACAAUGCCACUGGUAACAAUACUGAGAUCCAUAGUCAGUGUUGUGCUGGAAAAGAUCCCUGAUGUCUUAGAUCCCAAUGCCAGAAGAGUCUAUUAUAAAGAUCAUUGUCAGUAGUGCUGCCUACUGUCAUAAUGAGGUAAGUACUGUGUUUUGUUAAUGAAGACACCAUUGAUGCCAGUGAUCCUACCUGCAACCUGAAGUUAUGUUAAGGUCACUGCUGUUUGAAGUGAUCAGCAAUCAAGAUGGAGUCCAUUGUUAAUAUCACUGAAGGUGAUCUUGGCGAUGGCUAUGAUCUACAUUGUUUCUGGAGAACCUGAUGAAUGCCAAGGUCCAUACUGAUGCAGAACGUCAUUUUGAGGUAAUUGUUUUGAGCUGGCACUGGAGAUCUGAUUGAUAGCUGAGAUUCGACCCAUCACAGUAAAUUCAGUUGAAGUUUCUGAUGCAUGCAUGUAUCCUCCGAUGUUGAUCAUGCAAAGUAUUUUGAUGCCAGCAAUCCUACCUGUAUCAUGAAGCUCUGUUGAUGUCAGUGAUGUAUUCUGUGUCCAGAAAUAAUGAAGGAGUACAUUUUUCAUAUUGGUGAUGGAGUCUCUGAUGAUGGCUAAGAUAUGUGUUGCUGUUCGAGCACCUGAUAAAUUCCAAGGUCCUUAUUGAUUCCUGAAUUCAUAUUGAGGAAAUUCUGUUGAUGUUCCUGAUGCAUGCAUAUAGGUCCAGAUGCUAUAUGUGCAAUAUAUGAUGAUGCCUAUGAUAAUAUCUGAAACAUAAACCUAUGUAGAUGUAAAUGCUGCAUGAUAUGAGCUGCAAUCAUGAUGGAGUCCCUUAUUCCUAUCGUUGAUGGCAUAUCAUAGUUAAGGCUAUGAUCUGUGUUGCUGUUUGAGAAUCUGGUGAAUUUGACAGUCAAUACUGAAGCCCAAGGUCAUAUUGAGGAGAAAUGUUUUACCAGUCUAACCGUUUUGAUGUCAUGAUGCAGCCUACCACUACAGAAGAGGUUUCUGUACAAGGUCCUACUGAUCAUCUGAAUAUGCAGAGUACUGGAUAUGCAUAAUACUUCCUGGCAAAAGUCAAGAUGGCAUAUUCCAGAUCAAUGCUGCCAUAAGCAGCAAGGUUAUGACUAAUACUUGCUGUCACUUUGGACCUGAUCGAUGACAUCAAUGAUCCCAACUGUCAAAGGAAGUAUAUUGAUGUCACUCAUCCAUGAUGCUACUGGUGAUCAUGUUGAAAUCCAAAGUCAGUGUUUUCAUGGAAGUAUUCCCCGAUGUGUGAGAUCUCUGAGACAGCAGAGUCUUUCGUGAAGUUCAUGAUCAGUAGUGAUGCCCAAGGUCAUAAUGAGGUAAGUGUUGUGUGCUGCUACAGGAGAUGCAUUGGAUGCCUGUGACUACCUGAAACAUGAAGUUAUUCUGAUGCCAGUGCUCCAGCUGUGACCAGCAAUCAUUAUGGAGUCCAUUAUUCCUAUUACUGAUUGAGACCCUGGUGAUUGCUAUGAUCUCAUUUGCUUCUGGAAAACUACCUGAAUGCCAAUGUCCAUACAGACAACUGAUGUCAUAUUGAGUGUUCUGAGAUGACACUGGAGAACAGAUUGAUGGCUGAGAUCCUAAGUGUCACAGGGAAUUCUGUUGAUGUUCCUGACAAAAACAUGUAGUCUGUGAUGUCUAUCAUGGAAUGUAUCUUGAUGCCUGUGAUCCUACCUUUAACAAGAAGCUAUGUUGAUAUCAGUGAUACAUUCUGUGACCAGCAAUCAUGAAGGAGUCCAUUAUUCCUAUUGGUGAUGGAGAUCCUGGAAUGGCUAUGAUCUACAUUUCUGCUUGAGAACCUGAUAAAUUCCAAGGUUCUUAUUGAUGCCUUCUAGCAUACUGAGGUAAGUGUUCUUAGUUGGCCCUGGAUAUCAUAUUGAUGUCUGAGAUCCUACCUCCCACAGGAAAUUCAGAAGAUGUCAUGGGUGCAUGCAUGUAGCUCCUGCUGUUAAUCAUCAUUACCACCCCAAGAAGUGGAAGUGAUGCCUAAUAUCUAUCCUGCCACUGGAGAAGAGGUUUAUAAUCAUAAUUUCAUCUGCUGUUCGAAUUGUUGCUGAUGUCACUGAAAUAUACCUGGCAAGAGACACCACAGUAUUGCCCAUCAUCCAUACUGCUUUUGACAAAGUUGUCAGUGAUCUCUGAUUCCACUGGGAACCAUGCUAAUAUCACUAAUCCAAAGUGCCUACAGCAACUUGGAUGGUGUGAAUCAUCCAUCCUGUACCAGGAGCUAUGUUGAAACCCAUAGAAUAUAUUGCUUCUGAAGACAUGAUUAUUGUUAAUGGUACCUGAAUCCAUCAAAGUAAGGUGAAGUUCAAGUUCAAUAGUGCUGCCAAUGGUAAUGUUUAGUUAUAUUUUCUGACAUAUGUUAUGUUGAGAGCAUAUAAAUUGUGGUGAUGUACACUGGUGUAUGUCCAUAAUACCUCAGGCCUCCAACAGCCAUGCAAGUAAUACCUGCUGCCAUUAGGGAUAGGAGUUUAUCCAACUGCCAAUGGAAUUAUUACUGAUAUCUGUUUUCCAUUCUUCUGCUCAAUUUAUGAGAAUAUUCUUGCCCUCUAUAACAAUUUUGAUGUCAUGAUGCAUCCUGCCACUAGAGAAGAGGUUUAUGUUCAUGACCAUACUUCUCCUCUGAAACUAUUUUGAUGCUCCCUAAUACUUUGUGGCAACUGACUCUACUUUAUAUCCCACAACCCUGAUGCCAUAGGCAACCAGGUCAGGGGUGAAGCUUACUCCCACUUUGGACCAUUCAAUGAAACCAGAGACCACAACUGCCAAGGGAAGUAUAUUGAUAUCACUCAUCCAUGAUACCACUGGUAACCAUGUUGAGAUCCAUAGUCAAUGUUUGUAGGUGGAAUGGCUUAGCAACAAAUGUUGCCUUUGACGAGCUCCUUGGCUGCUGAGAUCCCUUGGCCACUAGAGUCUAUUGUAAAGAUCAUUGUCAUUAUGGCUGCCUAAGUUUAUAAACAGGAAAGAGCCGUAUACUAUUACUGUCAUCACCUUUGAUGUCAGUGAUCAUAUCUUCAUUUUGAAGUUCUGCUGAUAUCAUUGUAUGCUCUAAUCAGCCAGCGUGAUAGAGGCCAUUGUUCCUAUUACAUAUGGAAAACCUAAUGAUGACUAGAAUCUGUGUUGCUUCUGGAGAAACUUCUGAAUUCCAAGGACCUUGGGACCAAUAUCAUCCAAGGUCAUAUUGAGGGUAAGUGUUGUUAGCUGACAAAACUAAUCUCUGAGAUCCUACCCACCACAGGGAAUUCUACUGAUGUUCCUGAUGCAUGCAUGUAGCUCCUGAUGUGAAAAAACAUUGUAUUUUGAUGCUUAUGAUCCUACCUGUAACAAGAAGUUGUGCUGAUACCAGUGCUGCAUGUGGUGACUAGAAAUCAUGAUGGUGUCCAUUAUUCCUAAUGCUGAUGGUGAUGGCUCUUAUUUGUGUUGCUGCUUGAGAAUCCAAUGAAUCCCAAGGUCCAUACUGAUGCCCAUGAUCAUUUUGAUGUAAAUAUUUUUAGCUGGUACUGGAGAUCCGAUUGUUAUCUAGAAGCCUACCCGAAACAGGAAAAUUGGUUGAUGUUCCUUAUACAUGUGUGUAGCCCCCCAUUUUAAACAUGUAAUAAAUAUUGAUGCCUGUGAUCCUGCCUGAAACAUGAAGCUGUUUUGAUGUCAGCACUGUUUGAUGACCAGCAAUCAUGAUGGAAUCUAUUAUUUCCAUUGCUAAUGGACACACUGGUGAUGGCUAUGAUCUAUGCUUUUGCUUGAGAACCCGAUGAAUCCAAAGGUCUGUAAUGAUGUGGUAGGUGAUAUUGAGGUAAGUGUUCUGAGCUAGCAAUGGAGAUCAUAUUGAUAUAUGAGAUCCUAUCUGCCACAGGAAAUUCUGUUGAGAUCACUGAUACAUGAAUGCAGCCCCUGAUUUUUGACCUUGUUACGUGCAAGAUCCUUACUGCUACCUGAAGUGAUAGUGAUAACAGUGAUCUAUCCUGCCACUAGGGAAGAGAUGUAUGAUUUGCCCUAUGAAUUGAUGAUGAUGUCACUGAUAUAUACCUGGCAACAUACACCAUGGUAUUGUCCAAGGUCCAUGCUGCCAUUGACAACCUGGUUGUCAGUAAUCCCUGCUGCACCUGCUUACCAUGUUAAUAUCACCAUUACCAAAUGCUUGUAGAAACUAUGAUGGUUUCAGUAGCCAUGUUUAAAAUCAUAGUCCAUGAUGCCUCUUAGGAUAUUUUUAAUGCAAAUGAUCCCUGGGGCUAGCAGAAUCUAAGGUAAUGUUUUAGGUCAAUACUGAUGUCUGAGAUCAUGUUGAGUCAUAUGUUCUGAGAUAUAUUAUGGUGAAGUCACAUAUAGUGUGGCAACAGACACGGUUGUCUGUUAUAUAUAUUUCAGUCUUCCAGCAGUCAUGUCCGUGAUCCCUGCUGCCUCUUGGGAACACAUUAAUAUCACUGUUUCUAACUGGCAAUGGCAUCGUCACUGAUGCCAAUUUUCUAAGAUUCUGCCCAAUUCAUGAGAAGGGUUCUUCUAGCUGUAACCAUUUUUAUGUCAUGUUGCAUUCUGUCACUAGACAAGAGGUUUCUGUACAUGGUCAUACCUGCCCUAUGAAACUGUCUUGAUAUCCCUGGCAACAGAUAUACCAUAGUAUAUUUCAGAUUCCUAUGCCCACAGUCAACCAGGCAGUGAAUAAUUGCUACUACCACUUUGGAACAAAUUGAUGACAUUCGUGAUCCCAACUGCCAAGGGAAAAAUAUUGAUGUCGUUCAUCUAUGCUGUCAUUUGUAUCCACAUUGUGAACCAUAAGUAGCAUGUUUGAAGAGGCCUUGAUGUCUGUGAUAACUCAACCAGAAUAAUCUGUUGUGAAUUUCAGUGUUAGUUCUGGUGCUAAAGGUCAUAAUGAGGCAAGUCCUGUGUGUUCCUACUGGAGACAUGUGAUGCUAGUGAUGCUAGUGAUGUUGAUGCUAGUGAUCAUGUGUGAAACCUGAAGCUGUGUUGAUGUCAGUGCUGCAUGCUAUAACCAGAAAUCAUGAUGGAGUCUAUUAUUGUGAUGGCUAUGAUCUGUGCUGCUUCUGGAGAACAUGCUAAAUUCUGAGGUCCAUACUGACACAUGAGGUCAUAGUGAGGUAAGUGUUCUUAUCUGGCACGUGAGAUCAGAUUGAUUUAUGAGAUCCAACUUGCCAUAGGAAAUUCUGUUCGUGUCCCUGAUGCAUACAUGUAGAACCUACUAUCAACCAUGAAACACACAAUAUCCUUACUACCACCAUAAGUGCUAGUUUUGUCAAUAAUAUAUCCUGUCACUGGAGAAGGGUUUGUGACCAUAAUUUCUUCUCUCCUGUGAAUCAGUGCUGAUGGCACUGAUAUAUACCUGGCAGCAGACACCAUGGUAUUGUCCAAGAUAAUUGAUGCCAAUGGCAAACUUAUUGUCAGUGAUCCUAGCUUCAUGGGGUACCAUGUUUAUGUCACUAAUGCAAAGAGGCUGCAGAGACUUUGAUUAUGUGAGUCAUACAUGCUGCCUCUAGUAGCCAUGUUGAAAUCCAUAGUCAGUGUUGGUGCUGAAGACAUUGUGGAUGUUAAGAAUCCCUGAGAUCAUCAGAAUCUACAAUGAAAUUCAGUCAAUAAUGCUGUCUUGGAUCAUGUUGAGUUACAUGUUCUGAGACAAGAUAUAUGUUGAGUAUGUAUUUAUAAAAGUCAGACACCACUGUGUGUCUAUAAUUCUUCUGGUCUCUAGUAGCCAAUAUGUCAUUGAGCCCUUAUGACAUUUGUGACCACAUUAAUAUGACUUUAUUAAUUGCCAACGGAAUCACUACUGAUGCUUAUUAUCUAUGCUUCUGCAGAAAAUCUAAGAAGUAUCUUGCAUUCAUAAGUAAUUUGAUGCAAUGAUUCACUCUACAACUAGAAAUAAGGUUUCUCUAUAUGGUCAUACCUGCACUUUGAAAGUAUUUUCAUGUCCUUUGUACUUCCUGGCAAUGGACACCAUGUUAUCUCACAGAUCCCUGCUGCCAUAGACAACCAGAUCAUGAGUGAUCCCUAUUCCCACUUUGGACCAAAUUGAUAACAUCUGUGAUCCCAACUACCAAGGGAAAUACUGACAUUACUGAUAAUAAUCCAUGUUGUCACUGAUAAUCAUGUUGACAUCCAUAAUCUGUGUGGUCAUUGCAAAUAGCAAUGUUAAGAAUCCCUGAGACCAUCAGAAUCUAUAAUGAAGUUCAGUCAAUAGUGCUGCCUUUGAUAAUGUUGAGUUACAUGUUCUGAGAUAUGUUAUGUUGAGGUCAUACAUAUAGUCACACCAGACACCACUGUAUGUCCAUGAUAUUUCAGGCCUCUAGUUAAAUCAACCAGAAGGAUCUAUUGUGAAUUCCACGGUAAUUCAAUCCCUGUCUAAAGUCAAAGUGAGGUAAGUGUUGUGUGCUGCUACUGGAGACAUGUUUGAUGUCUGUGAUCCUAACGGCAACCUGAAGCUAUGUUGAUGGCAAUGCUGAAUCAUGAUGGACUCCAGGAUUCCUAUUGCUGAUAGAGACCAUGGUUAUGGCUAGGAUCUCUGCUGCUAUUUAAGGACAUGUUAAUUCUAAGGUCUAUACUGACAGUUGAGGUGAUAUUGAGGUAUGUGUUCUGAGUUGGCACUAGAGAUCACAUUAAUAUCUGAGAUCCUGCCUGCUACAGGAAAUUCUGUUGAUGUCCCUGAUGCAUGCAUGAAUCCCCUGAUGUAAACCAUGAGUUCACUGAUAUAUACAUCAUUGGAAGAGACAGCACUGUAUGUCUAUAUUCUUUAAUGCCACAAGCAGCCAUAUUGUCAGUGAUUCUUUCCCCACUUGGGACCACAUUAAUAUGAAUGAUUCCAAUUGUCAUUGGAAUCUAUACUGAUGUGAGUGAUGCAUGCUUCUGUCACCUGUGAGAAUGUUCUUUAUGAGAAGUAUACUCGUAGCUAUAAUAAUUUUGAAGUCAAUGAUUCAUUCUGACACUAUAGAUAUUAUUACUUCUCAUGGUCCUCCCUGCCCUAUGAAACUACCAUGAUGUUCCUGAUACUUCCUGGCAAUUGACAUCAUAGUAUAUCCAAGAUUCCCUAAUGCUACAGGCAACCAGGAUUUUAAUGAUCCCUAUUGAUACUUUGGACUAAAUGUGAUAUCAAUUGUCCUAUUUGCUAAGAGAAAUAUAUUGAUUUUACUCACCUGUUUUACUGUUUAUAACCACAUUGAGAUCCAUAGUCAGUGCUGUUUCUAAAGACCUUCUUGAUGUCUAUGAUCAAUGUGGCCAGCGUGUCAAUUGUGAAGUUCAUGGUCACAACUGCUUCCAAAGAUCAUAAUGAGGAAGACCUUAUUGAUGACAAGGAUCUGUGCUGCUGCAUGAGAACAGGCUGAAUUCCAAGUUCUAUACUGAUGUGCAGGGUCAUAUUGAGACCUCAUUAUGAGUAAUAUCCUUUCUGCCACAAGAAGAAAUUUGAUAUAAUUGAUUCAUCCUGCUACUGGAGAAGAGACUUAUGUUCAUAAUUUCUUCUACCCUCUGAAUCAACACUGAUGUCAGUGAUACAAUUGUCAACAGAUAUCAUACUAUAUCUAUAGUCCCUGCUGCAAUAGCAAGCAUCAUAUUAAAUAUUUGUGCUGCCAUUUUGGACCAGGAUGAUAUCAGUUACCACAACUGCCAACAGAAAUAUAGUGAUGUCACUCAUCCAUGCUUCUACCUGUAAAUAUAUUACUAUCCAUAGAUGUUGCUGCCUCUGAAGAGCUUUGUGAUGUCUGUUAUCCAUGGUGCUAGAAGAGUCUGUCUUGAAGUUCAUGGUCGAUAAUACUGCCUAAGUCAUGUUGAUGUAUGUGUACUAUGCUGCCACCAGAGACGUGUUUUAUGACUGUGACCUGACUUGCCUCCUGAAGCAGUGUUGAUGUCAUGGCUGCAUACUGACAUCACUAAUUGUGAUGGUGUUUAUUGUUCCAGUGGCAGGUAGGACCUGCCCUAUGAAACUAACAUGUACCAAGGGAUAAAUGCAUGCAUUAAGGACAUGUACCAGUACAACAAAACACAGGAGUGUAUGAAAUGCCUUUUAUGCAUGCAUGAAGCCCCUGCUGACUAAUCAUAACUCUUUUGACUAUAUUAUGCAUAAGAUCCUCACUGAAAUCAGAAGAAUUGUUCAAGAUGUCAUUGAUCCAUCCUGACAAUGGAGAAGAUGUUUAUGUUAAUAUUCUCUCUUGCCCUCUGAAUCUAUACCAAUGUCCAUGAUAUGCUCAGAAACAGAUACAAUGGUAUUGCCCAAGAUAAAUGCUGCCACAGGUAACCUUGAUUUUAGUGAUCCCUGUUGCAAAUGAGUACAAUGUUAAUAUCACUAAUUCAAAGUGCCACCAGAAACUAUGCUGAUGUCCAUCAUCAAUGAUAACACCGGCAUCAAGGUUGAAUGCCAUAGUCCAUGUUGGUUCUGAAGAGACUGAUAAUGUAAAGGAAACCUGUUGCUACCAAAGUCUAUGGUGAAGUUCAUAGUCAAUAUUGCUAACUAAGGUUUUGUUGAGUUAACCUUUCUGUGAUAUGUUGAGGUCAGUGAUACAUUAAGGCAACAAACACCAUUGUAUGCCCAUGAAUUUUGAUGCAAUGAGCAGCUAUAAUGUCAGUGAUCACUGGUGACACAUGUGACCACAUUAAUCUGAGUGAUUCCAGCUGCCACCAGAACCUAUACUGAUGUCUGUGAUCCAUUUUUCUGCCAUCUGAGACUAUGUUAUAUAAUAAAUAUAUGCUGCCAGCUGUACCACAUUUUAUGUCAAGGAUCCAUCCUGCCAAUAGAAAUGAAGUUUCUGUUCAUAGUCUGAUCUGUCCUCUGAAACUGCAUCAAUGUUACUGAUACCUUCUAGAAGCAAACACUAUGGUGUAUCCUAGAUCACUGAGGCCUCUGGCCCACCAGCAACCAUGAUGAUGUCCAUUAUUCCUAUUGAGGUCCUACCUGCCACAGGAAACUAUGGUGAUGUCCCUGACGUAUGAUUGUAGUUGCUUUGUAGAGCAUGCCAUGUAUAAGAUCCUAACUGUCACCAGAAUAGUUAUUGAUAUAAAUUCUGCAACCUUAUAGAUACUUUCCAGCUGUAACUAUUUUGAUGUUGAGGAUCUAUGCUGGAACUAGAGAAGAGGUUUCAGUAUAUGAUCUGAACUUCCAGUGAAACUAUGAUGUCAAUGACAACUCCACAGUAACAAAAAUUACAGUAUAUCCCGGAUCCAUUCUGUCACAAGUUACAAGAUGUUAGUGAUCCCAGGUCCCGCUAUGGAUUGGGAUGAUUAUAUUAGCGAUCCCACUUUUCCAGUGGAAGCAAUGUUCAUGUCAGUGCUACCUGUUGUCAUCAGCAAACAAUAUGAUGUCCUUCAUUGCUAUUGAGAUUCUACCUGCUACAAGAAACUAUGGUGAGGUCCCUGAUGCGUGCAUUUAUCCCUUGCUACAGACUAUCAUGUAUACUACCACCAGAAGUGAUGUUUGUGUUAGUGAUCCAUCCUGUGACAUUAGAAGAGAUUUAUGCCAAUAGACUCUUUCCCUCUGAGUAUAUACUGACGUCACUGACAUACCUAGCAACAUAUAUGGUAGGAUAGCACAAGAUCCAUGCUGCUACAGGCAACCUCAUCAAUGUUCCCUGUUGCCACUGGAAAUUAUACAAUCAUCACCAAUCUAACCUGCCCUCAGAAAUUAUGUUGAUGUCCAUCAUCCAUGAUGCCAACAGUACCCAUGUUACACAUAGUCCAUGUUGCUUCUGAAGAGAAUGUUAAUAUUAAGGAGUUCUCCAGCCACCAGUGUCUAUUCUGAAGUUUAUAGUCAAUAUUGUUGCCUGAGGUCAUGUUGUGAAGUGUUCUGA